GGGUCAGUAGGUUGGUCGUGCCACCGGUACGUACUGGUCUCACUGAUUCCUCCUUCCUGAAGAACCGUAAUGCCAUUAAUUUGGUGUUGCGGGGAAACAGGACUGUUACUUUGAAAAAAUUAGAGUGUUUAAAGCAAGCUAACGCUUGAAUACAUUAACAUGGAAUAAUGGAAUAGGACGAUCGAUCCUAUUUUGUUGGUUUCUAGGAUUGACGUA
rnacentral:rRNA from 1 species